CAACACAGCACCGGUCCUUUCCCCCCAAAACAGGAAGUGGGAACGAUAUCGCAUAGAGUGAAAGCUCUUGCAGUACUCCACUGUCUGGACAAGCUAUAUUGUAAGUCUGGCGGAGUCGGUAUUAACGUUAGUGGUGUUUUUACGCAAAGAGAAAUUCAACCAAAUAGAAGAUUGAUGUCAUUUAGUGGAACGCAAAACGGCGGUCGCCGUAGUAAAUGGGACCAACCAGGCCCAGGUCCUGGUUCAGACCAGAUGGGGGAGCCGGAGGCGGCUCCUACAGGGGCUCUGGACGCUGCAGCUGCUGUGGCAGCUAAGAUCAACGCCAUGCUGGUAGCCAAGGGCAAGCUCAAGCCCUCCCAGAUAGGACCCUCUGGACCAUCUGGACCCCCAGACAAGGUUGUGGGUGCAGGGAAGCCCCAGCCUCCUAUGAAAGCGAAGGAUGACCUGGUGGUGGCGGAGGUGGAGAUCAACGACGUUCCUCUCCCCUGCCGGAACCUGCUGACCCGCGGACAGACACAGGACGAGAUCAGCAAAGUGAGCGGUGCUGCUGUGUCCACCAGGGGGCGAUACAUGGCAGCAGUGGAGAAGUACAAGGCUCCACAAGGGGACCGACCCCUCUAUCUCCACGUCCAGGGCCAGACCAGGGACCUUGUCGACAGAGCUGUGAACCGCAUCAAGGAGAUCAUCACUAACGGAGUGGUGAAGGCGGCCACCUCCUCCUACAGCGGAACCGGAGCCACAGUCCCAGUCUACCAACAACACAAACCCCUGCCCCCCUCACUGCCCCCCAUCAAUCACCAUCACAGACCACACUUCCAGUCUGGGAUGCACUAUGUGCAGGAAAAGUUGUUUGUGGGUCUGGAGCAUGCCAUCCAGGGCUUCUCAGUGAAGGAGAGGGUGGAAGGGCCAGGCAGCUCCUACCUGCAGCACAUCCAGGGUGAGACUGGGGCCAAGGUCUUCCUCAGGGGGAAGGGAUCAGGCUGUCUGGAGCCCGCCUCUGGUCGAGAGGCCUUCGAACCGAUGUACAUCUACAUCAGUCAUCCCAAACCAGAGGGCCUUGCUGCAGCGAAGACCCUGUGUGACAACCUUCUGCAGACUGUUCAUGCAGAGUAUUCUGUCUUCCUCAACCAGAUGAGUGUCAUGAUGCCUACUCCCGGCUUUAUGCAGCCCCCCAUGGCCAACGGGAUGCCCCCCCAGCCCCCUUACUACCCCCCAUCGGGGUACCAGCCCAGCUACCCCCUCCCUGUACCUCCCCCUCAGCCCAUUCCUCCCCCUAUGCUGUCCCCCUCCCAUUCCCCCUGGGCUGCCCGCCGGUCUCCCCCUCCCAACCGGUACACCCUCCCCCUGCACCUGUCACUUUACCACAGACUCUCCCACCUUCACCUUUCCCACCCACUGCUCCGGUUCCGCCCAAAGCUCCGCCUCCUGUCGUCUCAGCCAAUCCGCCGCAUAAAAGACGCUUCACUGAGGAGGUGCCAGACGAGAGUGACAGCGGUCUGCUGGGAUACCAGCAUGGACCCAUUCAUAUGACUAAUUUAGGUGCAGGCUUCCCUGUGGGCAGCCCCGGCCCAGAGGCUUCAGGACCCCCGCCACCGAGUUCCUCCGGGCCGCCGAGGGAGAGGGACAGCAGUAGGCAGCUGAUGCCUCCACCACCCAUUCCAAUGAACGGAGGCAUGACACCCAAGAUGGAGGAGAGGAGGCUGCUGCAAGGCCCCCUGGGUAAGGGCCCCACCCCAUGUAACCCCCUGACUCCUCCCCAUCCAUGGCCUCAGCCAUAAAGCACGCUGCCCACCCCCCGGCCUCUUGGCUGUCAGUAGUCAGAGUCAAAUAGCAUUUUGCAUGCAGACAUGCUGUUCUAACACGAGACAGAACAGGUUCUAGCAGAUUACAUCAGACAGGCAUAGUGUUCCUCGAUAAGUUCUGCUUUGAAAGUCGGUCAGUCAGUUCAGAAUUCUGAACUGGGCAAAGCUUCGAUCCCCCACUGCCUCAGGUAACUCUGUCGUUGAUCCUAAGUCAACCCCUAGCCCUAGGCACUGUGUAGGUCUGAGAGUAUUUUAUAGGUCUAAGCAAGAUGUAGACAAUUACAAUUGGCCUGUAGAAGAGUAAGGCUGAUUUAUUACCAUACUGCUAGGAGGUGUCUAGGGAUGGAUUUCAGAUUGGGAGUCCCCCUCUCUAACUGGUGCUGUCCCCUCGCUGCCCGUCCCUUUCUGAUGACGUCAUCAGACAGGAGUGUCUGUGCCCGUGUUUGACUCCCUCACUAACAAGACUCUCUCUUUUUUUGUGUUCUUUCUCUGUGUUUUUCUUCUCUUCCAUGUCUCUCUGGGUGGGAUGCCGGAUGGGGGUGGGGCUCUUCUCCUGUGGCGUUGUCCUGCAUCGUGAUUGGACGGCCCUAACGCUGCCGCUCCCCACCGACCAAUGACUGCCACUGCUGACCCAUACCCCUCCUCCUCUACCUAACUCACAACUGCUGCCAAACACAAUGCAAUCUAUUAACUUUCUCUCCCUAUCUGUUGGUAAACAAUUGACUUCCAACGGUUGUUUUUGAAACCUUUGUGCUGGUCUUUGGUUGUGUUCUUUCUCUCUCUCUGUGUGUCUCCCCUCUCUCUCCCGCACCCCUCUCCUUUCUCCCUCAUUCCUCCCUCUUUCUCCCACUGUUUUUCCCUCUCUCUCAUCUCUCUCAGAUCCCUCAGUGAAGAGGAUGAAGACGGGGCUCGUGGCGUACGCUGGUGACUCCUCGGACGAAGAGGAGGACCACUCCACCCCCAAAACCUUGGGGGCAGGUAACCAUGGUAACAUCGCUGGGGAAACCCACUCCACCCCCACGU